GACAGAGGUGCCGAGCGUUAGGCGGAAUCACUGGGCUUAAAGCGUGUGUAGGCGGAUCGUUAAGUACCUUGUGAAAUCCCACGGCUUAACCGUGGAACUGCUGGGUAUACUGGCGAUCUUGAGGUGCUCAGGGGCGAGCGGAACAGAUGGUGGAGCGGUGAAAUGCGUAGAUAUCAGGAGGAACACCAAUUGCGAAGGCAGCUCGCUGGGACGUUACUGACGCUGAGACGCGAAAGCGUGGGGAGCAAACAGG
rnacentral:rRNA from 1 species